GCCGAGCGCUCUCGGCAGCCAUUUUCCUAAAAAACAGGACUCAAUGGCCUAUAUGGGUUUCCUUUGUUCCAAAAGGGAUCUUACACUUGAUUUCCUCAUCUCUCACGGACUAUGAUAAAACUAUGAUUGCUCCUUUUAAAGGAUUGAGAAGAAGGAAGAGAAUGUACUGGAUGUAAUACCCUGUGACAUUUUGAGCCUUUUUUCCUCUGCCUGGAAUCCAUCUUUGUCUUAACUAGGUCAUGGCACACCCAUAUAAUAGUAUUUAUAUUUCUUAAGUGAAAAGAAACCAAAUGUUGUGAAUAAACAGCUUUAUGGGUUUGGAGAUGUUAAAUUAGGGGGGAAAAAACACAGUUAAAGUGACAAAUGUGUAAUGGCUGCUGGCAUUGCACUUAUGGCCUUGUAGGAUAUGAGUAGCAAUGACAACGCUUAACACCCUGAUGACUUGUGUUGUACCCUUCCUACAACUGUGGAGACAACUUCAAGCAUGAUUAGACAGGAUUGCAGUCAAGUAUAACCUCUUCCAUUUCGACAUUUCUAACUGAGCUACAUCAUAUAAAACCACAAGGAAAUGUUGUUUUGAAAGACAAAGGAGAGCACUGUGCUGUAAAAUGUUGCUGCGCCAUAACUGGGUGAGGCUCGUUCGCUCGGGGAGAGAGGCUUUUUUCUGAGGACAU